rnacentral:misc_RNA from 1 species
GAUGAAGAACGUAGCGAAAUGCGAUAAGUAAUGUGAAUUGCAGAAUUCAGUGAAUCAUCGAAUCUUUGAACGCACAUUGCGCCCGCCAGUAUUCUGGCGGGCAUGCCUGUUCGAGCGUCAUUACAACCCUCAGGCCCCCGGGCCUGGCGUUUGGGAUCGGCGGAGCCCCCCGUGGGCACACGCCGUCCCCCAAAUACAGUGGCGGUCCCGCCGCAGCUUCCAUCGCGUAGUAGCUAACACCUCGCGACUGGAGAGCGGCGCGGCCACGCCGUAAAACACCCAACUCUUCUGAAGUUGACCUCGAAUCAGGUAGGAAUACCCGCUGAACUUAAGCAUAUCAAUAAGCGGAGGA